GUUUAUAGCUCAGUGGUAGAGUCCUUGCCUAGCAUGUGUGAGGCACUGGGUUCAAUCCUCAGAACUAAAUA
rnacentral:tRNA from 1 species